GACGAACGCUGGCGGCGUGCCUAACACAUGCAAGUCGAACGGAGAAGUUGAUUUCGGUUGACUUCUUAGUGGCGAACGGGUGAGUAACGCGUGAACAACCUGACCUCAAGAGGGGGAUACCAACGAGAAAUCGUUGUUAAUACCGCAUAAGACCACAGCGCCGCAUGGCAAAGGGGUCAAAGGAGCAAUCCGCUUGAGGAGGGGUUCGCGUCCCAUUAGGUAGUAGGCGGGGUAACGGCCCACCUAGCCAGCGAUGGGUAGCCGAGCUGAGAGGCUGAACGGCCACACUGGAACUGAGACACGGUCCAGACUCCUACGGGAGGCAGCAGUGGGGAAUAUUGGGCAAUGGGCGCAAGCCUGACCCAGCAACGCCGCGUGAGGGAAGAAGGUUUUCGGAUUGUAAACCUCUGUCGCAGAUGACGAAGGAAGUGACGGUAAUCUGUGAGGAAGCCCCGGCUAACUACGUGCCAGCAGCCCGGUAAUCAUACUCGUA
rnacentral:rRNA from 1 species